GGAAACUGCACUGGCGAAGAAGUCAGGUAGUCAGGUAGGUGCAGGGUUAUACUGGGAGACUGCACUGGCGAAGAAGUCAGGUAGGUGCAGGGUUAUACUGGGAGACUGCACUGGCGAAGAAGUCAGGUAGGUGCAGGGGUAUACUGGGAGACUGCACUGGCGAAGAAGUCAGGUAGGUGCAGGGUAAUACUGGGAGACUGCACUGGCGAAGAAGUCAGGUAGUCAGGUAGGUGCAGGGUUAUACUGGGAGACUGCACUCGCGAAGAAGUCAGGUAGUCAGGUAGAUGCAGGGUUAUACUGGGAGACUGCACUGGCGAAGAAGUCAGGUAGUCAGGUAGGUGCAGGGUUAUACUGGGAAACUGCACUCGCGAAGAAGUCAGGUAGUCAGGUAGGUGCAGGAUUAUACUGGGAGACUGCACUCGCGAAGAAGUCAGGUAGGUGCAGGGUUAUACUGGGAAACUGCACUCGCGAAGAAGUCAGGUAGGUGCAGGGUUAUACUGGGAGACUGCACUCGCGAAGAAGUCAGGUAGGUAGGUAGGUGCAGGGUUAUACUGGGAGACUGCACUGGCGAAGAAGUCAGGUAGGUGCAGGGUUAUACUGGGAAACUGCACUGGCGAAGAAGUCAGGUAGUCAGAUAGGUGCAGGGUUAUACUGGGAAACUGCACUGGCGAAGAAGUCAGGUAGUCAGGUAGGUGCAUGGUUAUACUGGGAGACUGCACUCGCGAAGAAGUCAGGUAGGUGCAUGGUUAUACUGGGAGACUGCAAUGGCGAAGAAGUCUGGGUCAGGUAGGUGCAUAGAUAUAUACUGGGACACUGCA